GAUGAACGCUGGCGGCGUGCUUAACACAUGCAAGUCGAACGGACAAGAUGAAACCUAGUGAUUUUUGUUAGAGGCGGACGGGCUAGUAACGCGUGGGCAACCUGCCUCAUACAGGGGGAUAACAACUAGAAAUAGGUGCUAAUACCGCAUAAGCGCACAGUGCUGCAUGGCACAGUGUGAAAAACUCCGGUGGUAGGAGAGGGACCCGCGUCUGAUUAGCUAGUUGGUGGGGUAAAGGCCUACCAAGGCGACGAUCAGUAGACGGCCUGAGAGGGUGAACGGACACAUUGGGACUGAGACACGGGCCAAACUCCUACGGGAGGCAGAAGUGAGGAAUAGUGCACAAUGGGGGAAACAAUGAUGCAGCAACGGCGCGUGAGUGAAGAAGUAUUUAGGUAUGUAAAGCUCUAUCAGCAGGGAAGAAGAAAGACGGUACCUGACUAAGAAGCACCGGCUAAAUACGUGCCAGCCGCCGCGGUAAUAC
rnacentral:rRNA from 1 species